UCUCCCUACGGGAGGCAGCAGUGGGGAAUAUUGCACAAUGGGGGAAACCCUGAUGCAGCGACGCCACGUGAAGGAUGAAGUAUUUCGGUAUGUAAACUUCUAUCAGCAGGGAAGAAAAUGACGGUACCUGACUAAGAAGCCCCGGCUAACUACGUGCCAGCAGCCGCGGUAAUACGUAGGGGGCAAGCGUUAUCCGGAUUUACUGGGUGUAAAGGGAGCGUAGACGGCGGCGCAAGUCCGGAGUGAAAGCCCACGGCCCAACCGUGGGACUGCUCUGGAAACUGUGCGGCUUGAGUGCGGGAGGG
rnacentral:rRNA from 1 species